ensembl:snRNA U6 U6 spliceosomal RNA
UUGCUUUUGCAGCACAUAUACUAAAACUGGAACAAUACAGAAAAGAUUAGCAUGGUCCCUGUGCAAGGAUGACUCACAAAUUCACAAAGUAUUCCAUAUCUGG